rnacentral:rRNA from 1 species
CUCCAUUAAAAAAUGUCAUGAAUCAUACACUAAAUUUGCCAUCCUAAUUGGAUGUGUCAUGGCAAAACUUAAUGUCCACAAAAUCACCACCUAAAUGGAAGAACUAACCCAGAACUGAAUGUGUCAUGGCAAAAAACAUAAUGAAGUUGCCGUGGCUAUUAUGUCUGCACCUAAAAUAGACUCUAAUGAACAUGACCAUCGAAUAAAAUUUGCCAUCAUUUGCACCUAACAUAGCCCUUUCACAAAAAAAAGUGAAGAGAAGACGGGAACCGGAAGACACCUGAAUACCUGCAGGCGUCUCACUACCUGACAGUAGCUACUGAUCACGCGACAGCGACGGAAAAUAGCAGACGAUGGCCUCUGGCCUGGACUUCCCGGCAGCCCAUGCAGCUCCUUGCAGCCCCGACUCCUGGACCUCCCGGGGGCCGACGCAAAUCCUCCGCAGCCCCGACUCCUAGACCUCCCAGCGACCGGCGCGGCACGACCGUGGUGAGAAACGGCCGGCACGCAGCAUGCGGCGCCCGCGUCUUCACCGUCCAAAUUGGGAGAGGAUACAUAUGCAGCCGGCUAGCGGAGCUCCCCGUCGUCGACUGCAUCGCGCCCCAUCGCCUUCCCGCCGCCCCUCUCCGCCAGAGCCGCCGCCGCACGCUCCCUGACGAGAAUCACGGUGGCUCCAGGUCCAGGGGCAUCGGGAACGGCGCACGAUGGAGAUCCGCGGAGCUCAAAAAGCGGCAUGGAUGCGCCCAAGUCCGGUUAAGGGCGAGACGACCUCGCCGUCCGCUGGCUGCAAAUCCCCAGCGGCGGCCACGGAGCUCAAAAGGCGGCAUGGAAGCGCCCGAGGCCGGUUGCGGGCGACACGACCUCGCCGUCUAUUGGUUGCAAAAUCCCGGCGGCGUCUGGAGGAGACGGCGCGUGGUGGCAGAGGAGGAGGGAGGCAGCUCGGUCGCUGUUGCGGGGGCAAAGGCUCGGCUGCUGGUGACGGCGACGCGCAGGCCGAUGCGGUGGUCAUCGGGCGGGCUCGCGAGGCUGCCCCAGACCCUGCCGUUCUCCAUGGCCGCCGCCGGGCUGUGGAGCUCCUCGUGGCAUGGCCGCCGCCGAUGCGAUGGCGGAUGCGGGGAGAGGGGUGGAGCGAUGGAGUGGGUGGAGCCUGUGGAGGAGAGACUGCGAAGGGGAUAAGUUCGUUGACC